GGUGACCUUGCAUGUGGUCAAGCCAUCCCCUAGUGCAGCCCUGCUGGGUAAAGCAAGCUCAGAUCUCAUUGGGAAACCUUUGUGGGCUCCCACAGUUCACUUGGCACAUUGCAGCGGAGACUGGCUGAUUAGUGUUCACUGUCAACUUGACACAAUUUAGACUCACUUGGGAAGAGAGUCACAAUGACAGACUGUCUAGAGCAGUGAUCCUCAACCUCCCAAAUGCUGCGACCCUUUAAUAUAGUUCCCCAUGUUGUGGUGGCCCCCAACCAUAAAAUUUAUUGCUAAUUCAUAACUAUAAGUUUGCUACUGUUAUAAAUUGUAAUGUAAAUAUCUGUGUUUCCCGAUGGUCUUAGGUGACCCCCAAAGGGAUCGUGACCCACAGGUUGAGAAAUGCUAGCCUAGAUCAAAUUGGCUUGUGGGCACAUCUGGGGUGGUGGUGGAUUAUUUUCUUGAUUUUGUUAAUUGGUAUGGAGAGGCCAGUUGAUAUGGUCACAUCCCUGAGGCUGUGUCCUGAAUUAUGUAAGAAUAGAGACAGUGAGUUCAGUAGCUGGCCUGUAUUCAUUUCUCUCUGCUCUUGACUGUGGGUGUGACCUGAGAAGUGGCUUCCAGCUCCUGCCUCGGUGUUCCUGGAAUGAUGGUAAUGUGUAACCUGAACUGUGUGUGAGCUGAAAGGAACCUUUCCUCCCCAAACUGCUUCUUCCGUCAGGGUAUCACGGCAACGGAAAUGAAGCAAGAUCCAGACUGCAGCAUCCACGGCCUUGAUGUAGAGACACGCCUUUAUACAGAGCCUGUGCGCGUGUUCCUGUAAACUUUAAAUCAGCUCUAGGUUCCUUACCAUAUCCAACAGGUCGAUCGUUUUAUAUUGUAUCAUUCAGGCACCAAGGGAAAAGCCACCAGGAAUACACAGAACGGAAGGAAGAGGACAGGCAUGUAAGCUGUCUCAUUUGAUUCCAUGUUUCCCGAUGAACCAGCUGACCACAGACCGGAAGUCUCUCCUCCGCUCAGCCAGGAAUCAUAGUCACUAGAGCUUCAAGUUCAUGAACAUGGGCCCUUCUCCUUAUUGUAGGAACCUUUCGCGCCCCAGCUCCGCCACCCCUGGAGAGGAACUCAUAAGUGCCAUAGUCCCUUCCAGCAGUUUCUAUGUUGCUGAGCAAUUUGUCACGACACCGUCACACGGAUCCACGUGGCAGCCUCAGGGUUUUGCUUGGCCAUCCUCCUGCCUCAGAUUCCUGACUGCUGGGAUUAAAGGCUCCACUUUGAAAAAGCUUGGCCUUGCUUCCCGUCAGACUCCUUGCUAGGGCCUGGACCUUUUCCGCAAGCAAGCGUGACCGUGUGCUGACUGACCUCGCUCUCUUACCUUAGC